UACGUAGGGGGCAAGCGUUGUCCGGAUUUAUUGGGCGUAAAGAGCGUGUAGGCGGCCAGACAGGUCCGUUGUGAAAACUCGAGGCUCAACCUCGAGACGCCGAUGGAAACCGUCUGGCUAGAGUCCGGAAGAGGAGAGUGGAAUUCCUGGUGUAGCGGUGAAAUGCGUAGAUAUCUGGAGGAAUACCGGUGGCGAAGGCGGCAUCCUGGACCGGCAUUGACGCUGAGGAGCGAAAGCUAGGGGAGCAAACGGG
rnacentral:rRNA from 1 species